GAUGAACGCUGACAGCAUGCUUAACACAUGCAAGUCAACUUGAACUUCGGUUUGGGUGGCGGACGGGUGAGUAACGCGUAAAGAACUUGCCUCACAGAUAGGGACAACAUUUGGAAACGAAUGCUAAUACCUGAUAUUAUGAUUAUAUGGCAUCGUAUAAUUAUGAAAGCUCUAUGCGCUGUGAGAGAGCUUUGCGUCCCAUUAGCUAGUUGGCGAGGUAACGGCUCACCAAGGCGAGGAUGGGUAGCCGGCCUGAGAGGGUGAUCGGCCACAAGGGGACUGAGACACGGCCCUUACUCCUACGGGAGGCAGCAGUGGGGAAUAUUGGACAAUGGACCAAGGGUCUGAUCCAGCAAUUCUGUGUGCACGAUGAAGUUUUUCGGAAUGUAAAGUGCUUUCAGUUGGGAAGAAAAAAAUGACGGUACCAACAGAAGAAGUGACGGCUAAAUACGUG
rnacentral:rRNA from 1 species